AUUGAACGCUGGCGGCAGGCUUAACACAUGCAAGUCGAGCGGUAGCAGGCCGCUAGCUCCUGGAUAGAGCGGCGGGGGGGUGUAUAACGCCGAAACAUGCGCCGUGUAGGGGGGUAUAUCGUCGGGAGAGGAGCUCUAACAGCACACAAGCUCUGAGGGAGAACGGGGGGGCUUAUCGCACCUCACGCUUUGAGAGGACCCUAGGUCGGAUUAGAUAGUUGGUGGGGUAAAGGCCUACCAAGACCACGAUCUGUAGCUGGUCUGAGAGGAAGACCAGUCACACUGGGACUGAGACACGGUCCAGACUCCUACGGGAGGCAGCAGUGGGGAAUAUUGGACAAUGGGCGCAAGCCUGAUCCAGCAAUGCCGCGUGUAUGAAGAAGGUCUUCGGGUUGUAAACUGCUUUUGUACGGAACGAAACGGAGUUGGUUAAUACCUUGCGGUAAUGACGGUACCGUAAGAAUAAGCACCGGCUAACUACGUG
rnacentral:rRNA from 1 species